UUUCANUCAUAAGCGGAGGAAAAGAAACCAACAGGGAUUNCCUUAGUAGCGGCGAGUGAAGCGGCAAAAGCUCAAAUUUGAAAUCUGGCUCUUUCAGAGUCCGAGUUGUAAUUUGAAGAAGGUAUCUUUGGGUCUGGCUCUUGUCUAUGUUUCUUGAACAGAACGUCACAGAGGGUGAGAAUCCCGUGCGAUGAGAUGAUCCAGGCCUAUGUAAAGUUCCUUCGAAGAGUCGAGUUGUUUGGGAAUGCAGCUCUAAGUGGGUGGUAAAUUCCAUCUAAAGCUAAAUAUUGGCGAGAGACCGAUAGCGAACAAGUACAGUGAUGGAAAGAUGAAAAGAACUUUGAAAAGAGAGUGAAAAAGUACGUGAAAUUGUUGAAAGGGAAGGGCUUGAGAUCAGACUUGGUAUUUUGUAUGUUACUUCAACGGGGGUGGCCUCUACAGUUUAUCGGGCCAGCAUCAGUUUGGGCGGUAGGAGAAUUGCGUUGGAAUGUGGCACGGCUUCGGUUGUGUGUUAUAGCCUUCGUCGAUACUGCCAGCCUAGACUGAGGACUGCGGUUUAUACCUAGGAUGUUGGCAUAAUAUC
rnacentral:rRNA from 1 species